UUUCUUUGUAUUAUAUGUAAGUUUUGUUAAACUAAAUGUUCUAUUUUGCAGUAAUUUGAUUUAAUUAUCAAGUGAUUUUGGAUUUAGCAAUUGAUUUAGUAUCAGCAUAAUUCGUGCCAGCAGCUGCGGUUAUACAAUUGAUACAAGUGAAUAUUAUUGGUUAAAACAGUUGGUUAUAUUUUUAGGGUUAAAAUAUAAAUUUGUAAGGUGAAAUGUUAAAAUUUAUUUAUAGCUCUUUUUAUGAAUCUGUGAAAUUUAAAUAAUAAACUAGGAUUAGAUACCCUAUUAUUUUAAAUGUUAAUUAUAUUUACCAGGGUACUAUUAGUUAAGGUCUUUAAACCCAAAGAAUUUGGCGGUAUCUCAUUCCAUUCAGAGGAACCUACCCCGUGAUUGAUAAUACACGAUUUACUCUACUUGAUUUAUUUGUUUGUAUAUGACCAUUAUCAGAGAAUCUUUUUAGAGUUAUAAUUCUCAAGAUUUAUAAUUAUAAAAUAUUUCAGGUCAAGGUGCAGCUUAUAGUUAAGAGGAGGUGGGUUACAAUAGAUUUUUGUUUAUAACAGAUUUGAUGGUGAAAUACUGUUAAUGAAGGUGGAUUUGAUAGUAAUUUAAUUUAUUUAAUUUAACUGAUAUUGGCUCUGAGGUGUGUACACAUCGCCCGUCGCUCUCAUUAUUGAUUAUUCUAUUUUAUUGUUUUAAUUUAUCUUCAAUUUAGAUGAGAUAAGUCGUAACAUAGUAGAUGUACUGGAAAGUGUAUCUAGUAAGAGUUUCAAGAUAUAACUUAUUAGUAAAGUGUUUCAUUUACACUGAAAAUUUUUCUGUGCAAAUCAGGAUAUCUUGAUUAUUUAUUUUAUUAUAUUUAUUUUUUGUUUAUUUAAUUAUUUAAUAAAAAUAAUUUUGUUGAAUUUUGUCUUAGUAUAUUUUGUAGAAUUGAUUUUUUAGAUUAUAGUUUAUUGGUAGUGUAAUUGUUUUAUGAAAUAUUAUUUUAAAUUUUUAAAAGUAGAUUUUAUUUAUUGUACCUUUUGUAUCAGGGUUUAUCAAAAUUUUAGUAUUUAUUUUACUUUUCUCGAUUUGGGUUGAUUUAUAAAUAAUUUAUAGUUAAUGUAUCAUAAUUAUUAUUAAAUUAUUUAUAGAAAUGAGAUGUUAAUCGUUUCCCAAGAUAUCUAGUUUCUUAAGAAAAAAUUUAAUUUUUUGAAGUUAAUUUUUUUAUUUAAUUUUUUAACUAUAAAUAUUAACUUAUUUAUUCUUUAAGGGAUAAGCUUUGAAGUUAAUAACCUAUAAUUUGUUUUAUAAAGUAUAAUAGUAAGCUUUAAACCAGCUAUCUUUAAGAUUACGUUUUAGUUCAUUAUUUUUUAUUUUGAUUUUAUAAUUAUUUUAGGUUUUUUAUUAAGAUAAUUUAUUUAAUUUUAAAAUUUUUGUAAUAAUGAUAGAAUUAGUAUAUUUAUUUGUAUAUAAUUUUUACCUUGUGAAUUUGUUAUAAGGAACUAGGCAAAAUUGAUUUCCGCAUGUUUAUCAAAAACAUGUCCUCUUGAAAAUACUUUGAGGUCUGGCCUGCUCACUGAGCAGAUUUUUAAAGACCCGCGGUAUUUUGACCGUGCAAAGGUAGCAUAAUCAUUAGUCUCUUAAUUAGUGGCUGGAAUGAAUGGCUUGACGAAAAAUCAACUGUCUCUCAAUAAAUUUUUGAAUUUAACUUUUGAGUCAAAAGGCUUAAUUUUUUUUUUAGGACGAGAAGACCCUAUAGAGCUUAACAUUUAACUUUUAUAUAGUUUUUUGUUUGCCUUUCUAUAUUUAAUGAUGAUGUUUUGUUGGGGUGACAUGAAGAAUAAAUAAACUCUUCAUUAUUAUAUCAUUAUUUAUGUUUGUUUUUUGAUCCAUAAUUUAUGAUCAUAAGAUUAAGUUACCUUAGGGAUAACAGCGUAAUUGUUUUUGAGAGCUCAUAUCGAAAAAGCAGAUUGCGCCCUCGAUGUUGGAUUAAGAAAAAUUUUGGGUGCAGUAGCCCAGUGAUUAGGUCUGUUCGACCUUUAAAUUCUUACAUGAUCUGAGUUCAGACCGGCGUGAGCCAGGUCGGUUUCUAUCCUAAGAUUAUUGAUUCAUAUUAGUACAAAAGGACCAUAUGGUUGAAAUAUUUUUUUAUUUUAUUGAUUAAUAUUAAUUAAAUUA